rnacentral:lncRNA from 1 species
UUCUUUUCUCUCGCCCUCGUUGCGAUCGAGACUUUCCUUUUCUCAUGCCCUAGUUGCAAUCGAGACCCUUAUUCCCGUAGUUAGUUGAACUACGUUUUGCUCUGAUUCUCAUUCCCGAUGAGAUACGUAGGCAUAAGACGCGAUGUCUUAGCGAGCACACUCCUCUUUAACCCAUAGGUACCCGAGCUACGAAGACUCUG